rnacentral:miRNA from 15 species
GUGGGAGGAUGGGAGUUGAGGAUUGGGUCUUUGUGGGCGAGAUGAGGGUGUCAGUUCAACUGGCCUACAAAGUCCCAGUUCUCGGUUCCCAGGACCUGCGCCC